UAUCAAAAACAUUUUUACUUGUUAGGUGAGAAGUAUGGCCUGCCCAGUGAAUAUUAAACGGCUGCGGUAUUUUGACUGUGCUAAGGUAGCAUAAUCAUUUGUUUCUUAAUUGGUAGCUGGAAUGAACGGUUGAGCUGGUUUGAUAAGUGUGUGUGUUUAAAUAGAAAAUUAAAGUCAAGGUAAGAAUUCUUUGAUUUUUUAGGGGACGAUAAGACCCUAUAAGCUUAAUAAAUGUAAUAGUAAUUUUGUUUUAAAAGUUAGUUUGUUUUACUGGGGCGGUAUUGGUAUUUUAACUAUUAGUUAACUUAGGAUCCUUAAAAUAUAGAUAAAACGGAGAAGUUACUCUAGGGAUAACAGUGCAAUAUUUUUGGAGAGAUCUUAUCGAUAAAUAUGUUUGCAACCUCGAUGUUGAAUUAAAAUUUCUACGUGAAGCAGAAGGUAUAGUAGAGGG
rnacentral:rRNA from 1 species